AACCACUCCUCCUGAUAGCAAUUGGUGACCAUUGAUCCUCCCAAUACCUAUUUCCUUUCCAAAAAGGCUCUGCUGUCAAAAGGGGAUGUCACGGAUACAGAGAUGGACUCAGGAUUCAUCCAAUAAAGAUUUUAUUAAGUUCGCUACCACACACUUUACACAAAUCAUGAACUGUAAAACAUGACAAGAAAGAAUGUGCUAUGAACCAAUAAGACCACAGAUCGUAACUUGUACCUAUCAGAGCAAUGUCUAUUAUUUUCAAAUAAGUAUAAAAUGUCAAUGUCUGCAAAUGGGAGGGAUGUCAGAUCAGGAAAAUUCCCCUGGCACUUUUCCUUGGCUACCAGAGCAAUAAAGCAAUCUCUGACUCUACCCUCAAACUCUGUGUAUCUUAAUUGGAAUCAAUUGGAGGUGGCACACCAGAUAAAGUCCAACAUCAACAAUGGAAUGGCUAAGGGAAGGACUAUCAUAGAAAAAUGAUGUGUCCUCAGAGCCCUUUGGACAUUGCAGAGGAAGGAAGAGAAUACCAGCAUACACAGAAUAGGCUUAAACCUGCAUCUGUCACUAACCCAGGCCCGGCCCAACACGGCACGCUGGCCACGCCCUCGCAUUGGGCGCCACCUUCCCAGGGGCGCUAUUGAGUUUGGAAAGGACUGCCCAGCUGAGCUGAAGUCCAGGCUGCUGGGGCUUGCCUCCUGGAGAUGCUUUGGAGGGCGCUGGGGCAAAGGAGCCUCGCUGAAGCUCUGGGCGAGCGCCCUUUGGGACAAAGCAGUGCCUCUCUUCCCCCGUUUGGCAGCAGAUGAGCCAGGUUGGACCUGCUUCGGCUUCCCUCCCCUUUGCCUUUACAGCUGGAGAGCCAGGGCUGCCUGCACAUGCAAAAUGGAAAGGACACACGAAGUGGGAAAGGCCGGGUGGAUCUCUCCUACUUGUUCAGGAUGGGCUCCCAUUGGCUAUUUGGCGCUGUUUCAGCCGAUACUGGCCUCCCUCCCUCUCCCGUGCCUGGAAGCCACGCCCCCUCCUGUUGCUUUCCUCCAUUAGCAGCAGCCAGGCCAGCAACGCGUGCCCUGCGAGGGCCUGCUUGCCUCCAUUGGGAGAUUGGGUCACAGAUUAAUACCUGGAAGCAGUGCUUUGGCUAUGAAUCCAGCUGUGCUCUUCACAGAAGUUACAAGCAUUCAUCUUUGCAAACAAGAAGAGAUGGGACUGGCUUCAGUAUUGGAAAGAAACACAUCUUAACAUGAUCUGCAAUAAGCAAUGUAUGAUAUGCUGUAAACCCAAUGGUGUAUAGCCAGUUGCAUUUUUGCAGAUAUUUGAUUUUAACAGUUUGAGCAUCCCUUAUGUUGAUGUCCAAAAUCUAAAAUGCUACAAAAUCCAAAACUGUCCACAUGAAUGGCUGAGAUAGUGACAUCUGCUGGUUCACAGUACACAAACUUUGUUUCAUGCACAAAAAUAUUAUUAAAAUAUUGUAUAAAAUCUCCAUGGGGCUACAAGUAUAAGGUGUAUAUGAAGUGUAAAUAAAUUUUAUGUUUAAACUUGAAUCCUAACUCCAAGAUAUUUCAUUGUGUAUUUAUAUAUAAAUACAAAUAUUACGCAAUUGGGGGGGGGGGGGGUGCCAAAAUACAAAACAUUUUGGGGCCCAAGUAUUUUUGAUAAAUCUGGGAUUUUGCACAGUGGAACUAUUUUGCUCUCUAUACAAAAAGUGCUAGAUUUUGAGCAAUGCUCUAUGUGCCACUUUCACUCAUGUACACAUAUCAAGCCCAUUUAGAAUGAUGUAAGUUGCUCCGAGAGAAGAAAGGGAUACUGUUUUUCAAUGAGGGGGAAUUUGGCUACAAGCCAUGGACAUCCCACAUUCCUUAUGUUGCUAGUCCUCAGGAUAGAACGUUUUUUAUGGAAAGCUCUAUCACAAAGAACCAGAAAUUACCCCCAUAUCCACUCCUAAUUCAGUACCAAGCAGCUGAGGCAAUGCCUUGGUUUCAGAAAUGUAUCUUGUGAUCUUUCUGCAGUUGAUGCUUUAGAUUGAUUCAUUUUUGUGGGAAAAUUAAUUAUGAAACCAUUUAAAAAUAUAAAUGAAAUUGUCACAAUUUUAAAUUGUGCAAUAAAAUCUGUAUCUGUAAAUAUAUUCCUGGGAUCAAACAAAUACAUUUUAAUGCUGUCCUCAGCAAGAACCACCCCAGUGUAGUGAUUUUAUGACGACUCUGGGGAAAACCUUAAUGUGUUGUUGAACAACAGUACUCACCCACCUCAAAGAAUGUAUAAUUCACCAAGAAACAAUAAAUAAAUAUAUGAUUUUUUUCCUUUAAAAAAAUUAAAAACCUUUCCUGGAGGUCCAGAGUUGAGCAAGUUCAAGGCUUUAGAAGAUCGGGAAUAAACCCAGUAGCAGCUGUGCCCCCAUGAACUAUUGUGCCUAACCCUUUAAUAAAGUAUAUCGGUUUUUCAUUUUUUUUGUAACUUGUAUCUUUCAAACUGUGUACUCUAUCUACUUCUUACACAAAAUGUAUAUAAACCACUUCUUAGAAGAGUACCAAAAUGUAGCUUCUGGACACCUUCCAGCUUGUCAAUAUCUCUUUUAAAUGGUGGUACCAAGUAUUCCAGGUGAGGUCUAACCAAAACAGAAAGGCACAAUGACUUCCCUCCAUCUAGACGUUAUACUCCUUUUGAUGUAGCCCAAAAUCCCAUUGGCUUUUUUAGGUGCUACAUCACACUGCUGGCUCAUGUUCAACUUAUCAUCCAUGAAGACUCCAAGAUCUUUUUCACAUGUAUAAAGAUACCCAUCCUGUAUCUUUGCAUUUCAUUUUUUCUGCCUAAGUGUAGUAUCUUACAUUUGUCCUUGUUGAAAUUCUUUUUGUUAGUUUUGGCCCAACUCUCUAAUCUGUUAAGGUCAUGUUGAAUUCUGAUCCUGAAUUCCUACCUAUCCCUCCUAAUUUAGUUUCAUCUGCAAAUUUGGUAAGCAUGAGCUCUAAACCUUCAUCCAAGUCAUUAAUGAAGAUGUUGAGCAGAACUGGGCUGAGGACUGAAACCUGCGGCACUCCACUAAUCACUCCUUUACAGGAUGAAGAAGAACCAAUGGUGAGCACUCUUUGGGUUUGGUUGCUUAACUAAUUACAAAUCCACCUAACAAGUAGCAUUUCCUAGCCCACAUUUGACUAGCUUGUUUGCAAGAAGGCCAUGGGGAAAACUUUUGAAGACCUUACUGAAAUCAAGAUAUGCUACAUCUACAGCAUUCCCUGCAUCUACCAAGCUUGUAACUCUAUCAAAAAAAGAGGUAAGAUUAGUCUGGUAUGACUUGUUUUUGAGAAAUCCAUUAUGACAGCAUUCCUUUCCAAGUGAUUGCAGACUGCUUCUUAAUUAUCUGCUCCAGAAUCUUUUCUGGUAUUGAUGUCAGGCUGACUGAAUGGUAAUUGUUUGGGUCCUCUUUUUUCCCUUCUUGAAGUUAAGGACAAUAUUUGUCAGUGGUUCUGAAAUGACUUCUGCUAUCUCCUUCAAUACUCUUGGUCUGGCCAUGGAGACUUGAAUUCAUUUAGAGUAGCCAGGUAUUCCAGGACUACUUCUUUACCUAUUUUGGGUUGCAUUUCCCCUAUUGCCUCAUCCACUUCAUAUGGCUCAAGUUGAAUGCCAAUCUCCUUUUGGGAGAAGACUACAGCAAAGGAGGUGUUGAGCAGCUCUGCCUUUUCCCUAUCCACUGUUAGCAUUUUACCACCUUAUCCAUGCCGAGGCCCUGCUGUUUCCCUUUUCGUCUUUUUUCUACUGACAUAGCCAGAGAACCCCUUUUUAAUCUCUUUUUAAUCUCUCUGACAAGCCUAAGCUCAUUUUGCACUUUAGCCUUAUGAACCUUUUCCCUACAUAUGUUGGUUAUUUGUUUGAAUUCCUCUUUGGUGAUUUCCCCCCUUUUCCGUUUUUUGUACAUGCCUCUUUAAAAUCUUAGCUCAGUCAAAAUUUCUUUCGUCAUCCAUUCUGGUUGUUUUAUGCUUCUCUUAUUAUUAUUUUUCUCCUUGCUGGCACUGUUUGCAAUUGUGCCUUGGUUAUCUCACUUUUAAGAAACUCCCAUCCAUCAUUAACUGCCUUCCAUUUUAGUAUUCCUGUCUGUGGAAUCUUGCUCAGAUACUGGAGUUCUUGAAGGUUAAGCUGGGAUAGUAACAAGUCUAGUCUAAAAUUAGAAGCAUGAAAUCCAAACUACAAACAGGGAAGUGCGAGCCAAUGCUGAAGUCCAAAGUCCAAUUAGCAGAAAUCAAGCCAGAAAAGCAACAAAUUCAAGUCAGGGUUAUAUGAAAGCCAAGAUCACAGUCCAGAAUCAGAAAUGCUGGUAGUCCAAAAAGCAGCAGAGUUAGAUUUCAAGACAAGAAACAACAAGGUUAACCAAAGUUACAGCAUCACAGUACAGCAUCAAAAAUGCCAGGAGUCAGAAGAGUCAGAAAUGUUAUUUGUCAGAGACCUGGGGUCAAAAACCAGAGUUCUUGAAAACAAGCGGAGCGGUAGUAGUGGCAGCAUCCAGAACAAGAACAUAAUGUUGUCUGCCACUCAGAGCCACUCCUUGGAGAGCAUUUUAUCAUGAGAUUUCAGCCCGUACUUGUUUCACCAUCCUUUCACAGCUAAUUUCUGAGAUCUGUGAUAUCUUCUCUGUUUCAAAGAAGAAGGUAUGGUUAACUUGUCACUGGCUUUCUCAAAAUACUGAGGAGCUUCUUUAUCUGCUUCUGCUGAAGGCUCACAGUAGGUGAGCUAGGUCAGACAGACUGUUGAGAGCUGCUGGCUAUGAUUGCUGGAUUGAUUUAGAUUGAUGUAGAACUAUCUAUAUUUUGAGUUUCAUGCAGUGCUUGGAUUAUGAAUGAAAACUUCACAGUCACAAUGCCCACACCAAUAUAAACAGCACAAUUGCAAAAAUCUGUAAUGUAAUUUUCCUCGUGCAAAUGCAAUUAUGCUUCCUGCAAAAGUUUUCCUUCAUCUUUUUACUGUUUCUCUUACACAAUUACAGAUUGCUUAUGCUGGUCUUUUUCCUUUGCUGACUUUGUCCAGAUAAUUCCCUCUUCCAACAAGGAUUUCCUAAGUUCCUACUUUCCUCCAUUAUUACCAUAAAAUCUCUUACUGUAAUAUAAAUUGUAUGUUCUUGCUUUGGUUCCCUUUGGGAACUGACAGAUACAUGCUGGUAACAAUUUUUUUCAAAAAUGAAUGUAAUAUCCCUUCCCUCACAGAGUGUUUUAAGAUAAUGGGUUUUAAUUUACGAAAUUAAAAAGCACUUAAAUAUAAAGUCUACAAAUAUAUCAAAUGACAUCAUCAGAUAUAGUAGGGAUAAGAUGAACUCUAAUAUCAUACCAAAGCUAGCUUGCUUGCUUGCUUCCUUCCUUCCUUCCUUCCUUCCUUCCUUCCUUCCUUCCUUCCUUCCUUCCUUCCUUGAAUAUGCACUUCAACAUCCACAAUAUGGGCCCAAAAACCUGUCCUGAAUUUAUACAUAACACUCAUUUGUACACGAGUACCGGUAUAUAUACAUAAUACAGAUAAAUGGUGUAACUACACUGUAGAAUUAAAGCAGGUUGACACCACUUUAUCUGCCAUAGUUCAAUGCUAUGGAAUCAUAGAAGUUGCAGC
rnacentral:lncRNA from 1 species